UUGUGGAAUCUGAUAGUUGUGGGAAUCAGAAUUGAAACCGAUCAAAAAAAAAAGUAGGUGUCGUGAAUUCAGAUAUUAAUGAUUUGAUAUUCGAAACAAAAUUUUUAUCGGUUUUGAGUGGCACGGAAACAAAUUUUAUCGGUUUUGUUAUCAGAAACAAAGCAAGAAGAUAUUCGCACACAGAUUUGAAAUACGAAAAUCCCACUGCAAUUUGCAUCCACUCUACGGUACAUAAAAUCGAUCAAGCCUGAUGGAAAUCAGCUUUGCGCCCAUCUAGCCUUGAGCGUCCACUCUAUGGCCACCCUAAGGAUUAGAUAUUCCGCUAAUUUCAGUGAAGUCCGCUUUAAAACAGCUACAGCCAUGGACAUAUAAAUAGCACAAAUCCGAAUCCCAUAUGACUUAUAUUUUCCAUAAUCGUAAAGUUGCUGAACAAUCAAAAUGUGUUUUCGCGUGUUUUUAAUUAUUAUUUCGUCGAUAUUUCAUUAACAUGGAAUAGGAAAACAUUGCACACAAAAAGGAUAAAAGCAAAAAAAAAAUGAAAAGCUCCUGCCGAAAUAAAAAAGGCGCAUCUUCUGUCA